rnacentral:rRNA from 1 species
AUUGCAGGCUGCAACCCGCCUGUAUGAAGUUGGAAUCGCUAGUAAUCGUAGGUCAGCAUACUACGGUGAAUACGUUCCCGGGCCUUGUACACACCGCCCGUCAAACCAUGAGAGUUGGCAACACCCGAAGUCGGUAGUCUAACCGCAAGGAGGACGCCGCCGAAGGUGGGGUUGAUGAUUAGGGUUAAGUCGUAACAAGGUAAC